GACAUGCGGAGGAUCAUUACUAGAGCAAAGGAUAGACAGCGCCCGCGGAGCUCGCUCCCGGGGCUACCCUACUCCCGUAGGGUUUAGAGUCGUCGGGCCUCUCGGAGAAGCUCGGUCCUGAACUCCACCCUUGAAUAAACUACCUUUGUUGCUUUGGCGGGCCGCCUCGUGCCAGCGGCUUCGGCUGUUGAGUGCCCGCCAGAGGACCCCAACUCUUGUUUUUAGUGAUGUCUGAGUACUAUAUAAUAGUUAAAACUUUCAACAACGGAUCUCUUGGUUCUGGCAUCGAUGAAGAACGCAGCGAAAUGCGAUAAGUAAUGUGAAUUGCAGAAUUCAGUGAAUCAUCGAAUCUUUGAACGCACAUUGCGCCCUCUGGUAUUCCGGGGGGCAUGCCUGUUCGAGCGUCAUUAUAACCACUCAAGCUCUCGCUUGGUAUUGGGGUUCGCGGUUUCGCGGCCCCUAAAAUCAGUGGCGGUGCCUGUCGGCUCUACGCGUAGUAAUACUCCUCGCGAUUGAGUCCGGUAGGUCUACUUGCCAGCAACCCCUAAUUUUUUUUAAGGUUGACCUCGGAUCAGGUAGGGAUACCCGCUGAACUUAAGCAUAUCAAUAAGCGGAGGAA
rnacentral:rRNA from 1 species